rnacentral:rRNA from 1 species
UACAGAGGUCUCAAGCGUUGUUCGGAUUCAUUGGGCGUAAAGGGUGCGUAGGUGGCGCCGUAAGUCGGGUGUGAAAUUUCGGAGCUUAACUCCGAAACUGCAUUCGAUACUGCGGUGCUUGAGGACUGGAGAGGAGACUGGAAUUCAUGGUGUAGCAGUGAAAUGCGUAGAGAUCAUGAGGAAGACCAGUGGCGAAGGCGGGUCUCUGGACAGUACCUGACGCUGAGGCACGAAGGUCAGGGGAGCAAACGGG